GGUAGUAGCAAAUAUUCAAAUGAGAACUUUGAACGCCGAAGAAGAGAAAGGUUCCAUGUGAACAGCACUUGCACAUGGAUAAGCCGAUCCUAAGGGACGGGGUAACCCCGACAGAUAGCGCGAUCACUCGCAUCACCCAAAAGGGAAUCGGGUUAAGAUUUGCCGAGCCGGGAUGUGGCGGUUGACAGCGAUGUUAGGAAGUCCGGAGACGCCGGCGGGGGCCUCGGGAAGAGUUAUCUUUUCUGCUUAACGGCCUGCCAACCCUGGAAACGGUUCAGCCGGAGGUAGGGUCCAGCGGCCGGAAGAGCACCGCACGUCGCGCGGGGUCCGGUGCGCCCCCGGCGGCCCAUGAAAAUACGGAGGACCGAGAAUUGUUCACGCCCGGUCAUACUCAUAACUGCAUCAGGUCUCCAAGGUGAACAACCUCUCACC
rnacentral:rRNA from 16 species